AGACUUUGAUCAUGGCUCAGGGUGAACGCUGGCGGCGCGCCUAACACAUGCAAGUCGAACGGAGAAAGUCCUUCGGGACAAGUAUCAGUGGCGAACGGGUGAGUAACACGUGGGAACCAACCCCCCGGACACGGAUAACUACUGGAAACGGUAGGUAAGACGGGAUAAGCUCGGGAGAGGAAAAUCCAAGGGAUGCCGGGGGACGGGCCUGCGACCCAUCAGGUAGUUGGUAGGGUAAGAGCCUACCAAGCCAACGACGGGUAGCCGAUGUGAGAGCAUGAACGGCCACAAGGGCACUGAGAGACGGGCCCUACUCCUACGGGAGGCAGCAGUGGGGAAUUUUGGACAAUGGACGAAAGUCUGAUCCAGCGACGCCGCGUGAAGGAAGAAGUCCUUCGGGAUGUAAACUUCUAAGAUUAUCGAAUAAAGGCCAUGGGGGACCAUGGAGCUGAAGGUAGAUAAAGAAAAGCCCCGGCUAACUACGUGCCAGCAGCCGCGGUAAGACGUAGGGGGCGAGCGUUGCCCGGAAUUACUGGGCGUAAAGGGGACGUAGGCGGUUAAUCAAGUCAGGUGUGAAAUGUCACGGCUUUACUGUGGAAUAGC
rnacentral:rRNA from 1 species